UACUUUUUUUUUGGGGACAAAUUUAGCAAUAAUUUGGUCCGGGCUCAAAUCAAAAGCGGGCCAAAAUCCGGUGAAGGAAAAAAAAUACGAUCCAUGUUAUUUCUCGACCGACCCUCCACCAUCUCCUCUUCUCACCGAUCGACGACGUCCGCCGUCUAAUAAUUUGGGUAUCGAAGGUUGUCCAGAUCACACGGUCUUUUGUUUUUUUUUUAAAGUGGAUUUAUACAGUAUUAAGUUACCAGGUUGUAAUCAUCACUAUUGGGAAAGUUAGCUGAGUUUCAUGCAUUCAUGCUGUAGAGUAUUGUCAUGCACCUCUGUGUCAAUUGGGCGGGAAAUACAAAGAGCGUGUUUAAGCUGAUGCGAUGUCAGCAUCUAGCAGAUUUGAUCUAUCUUCUAGUAGCCCAGAUAGACCAUUGUAUGUCACCGGGCAGCGUGGGUCAUAUGCAUCUGCUUCAUUGGAUAGGUCCGCUAGUUUCCGCGAGAACAUGGAGAAUCCAAUCUUAUCUUCUCUUCCUAACACGACAAGGAGUACUUCAACAAUUACACAAACAGAUGUCACUAACUUUUUUCAGUGCUUGCGUUUUGAUCCAAAAGCAAUGGUGACAGAGCACAAACUUAAUAGGCACAGUGAUUUCAAGAGACUCACUGGUUUAGCUUUAGGCAUGCCAGUAGAGGAUUCUCCUGUGGUGUCUUCUAAAGGGAAACCAUCCUCUUCUCCCUUUCCAGAGGAAGCCAGACGGCUGAAGGCUGGUCUUCGGGAAAGCUGUACUAAAGCAAGGGAACGUGUAAAGAUAUUCACUGAAUCCUUAUCUGUGAUCAACAAAUGCUUUCCAAGCAUUCCAUCAAGGAAGAGAUCUCGGUCAGACGUCUUAUCAAAUGAGCGACCCAAUGUGUUAUAUUCAAGUGACCGGUCAGUUUCAGGAGCAGGCAUUGGUAAAAUAGGAACCCAGAGUGGUUAUGAGUUUGAGCUACAGAAGUCCGAAAAAAGGACCAAAAAUGCUGUUCCUAAUAAGCGCACUCGAACUUCUAUGGUGGAUCUGAGGCCGGAGGUGCAAGCAAGCACUCCAUCAAGGCCAUCUGGGAUUAUGGAUAGAGAUAGGGAGAUAUUGAGACUUCCAAAUAGUAGCACAGUUCAUGGAGAGGACCGGACAUCAUCUAUUGCUGUAGAAGGCUGGGAGAAGUCUAAGAUGAAAAAGAAGCGAUCUGGAAUAAAGCCAGAUACUACUGGAAGCUCGUCGACAGCAAAACCUAUGGAAAGGGAACCAAAGCAAGGAUUGCCGUCCCGUCUUAUAGCUGAUGGCCGCUUGCGGUUUGGUGAUACCCAUAGCUUCAGACCUGGAGCUACUCCAGGAACUACUGGAACUGGAAAAGCUGAUGGUGUAUCACAGCAAGUGCCUUUAGGAAUGCGUUCUUCCAUGUCCAAGGUUGACCAAGAGAACAGUCUCCAUCUCAUUGAUAGAAGAGACCAACAACUUAUCGGUUCAGAGAAAGAAAGGGUGAAGAUCAGAGCCAUCAAAAAUAAAACAAAGACAGCUGCUCGAGAAAAUUUCAUAUCUGCUACUCCUUCUUCAAGUACAAAAGUGAAUUCUGUUGCUCGUGCUCCACGAUCAGUUUCAGGUGUUGCACCAAAAUUAUCAGCAGUGGUUCAACAGGCAGCUGCUGCUAAUGAUUGGGAAACCUCUCACUGCACAAGCAGAUUUCCAUCUGCUGUCGGAGCAGGUAAUCGUAAACGAACCUCUUCUAUGAGGUCGUCAUCACCGCCUGUUGCUCAGUGGGCCAGCCAAAGGCCCCAGAAGAUCUCUCGACCCGCAAGAAGGGCUAAUUUUCCUAUUGUUCCCAAUAAUGAUGAAAACCCUUCUCUUGAUAGUACAAGUGAUGCUCUCAGUAAUGAAAGGCGUCUUUGUGGUUCUUCCCCUCAACAAGUCAAAUUAAAAAGCGAUCAUUUCUCUUCAGCUGCUUCUGAAAGUGAGGAGUCUGGGGCUGCGGAAAUCAAGUCCAAGGACAAGAGCAACAGGUCUGACGAGGUAGAUGAAAAAUCUGGGCCCCAUGUUCAGAAGAUGUCUUUGCUGCUCCCACCAAGGAAAAGUAAGAGGGCUAGUGGGGAAGAUCAUGGAGAUGGUAUUCGUAGGCAAGGUAGGACUGGAAGGGGUUUUACCGCCACUAGGAAUCCGAUGACAUUGAUGGUUGAGAAGCUUGGAAAUGUUGGAACAGCAAAACAACUGAGAAGCUCUAGACACGGUCUUGACAAGACUGAAAGCAAAGCAGGCCGACCUCCUACAAGAAAGCUUGCUGAUCGUAAAGCUUACAAACGACAGAAACAAGCGACAAUGAAUGCCACUACUGAUUUUCUAGUUGGUUCAGAUGAUGGGCAUGAAGAACUUCUGGCUGCUGCAAGUGCUGUUACCAACACUGCUCAAGCCCUCUCUAGCUCAUUCUGGAAGCAGAUGGAGCCACUUUUUCGAUUCAUGUCAGAAAUAGAUACAACCUUUUUAAGGCAGCAGGUAAAUCAUGAGAUCAACCUUUCAGGGCCAGUAUCUGACCCUUUUGAUACUGAUGGUUCGAGUUUAGUCCCAAAUGGUUUUGGGUUGACCGAGUUUGGAGGAGAUACAAAUGAAACGCGGAGUCUUGAAAGUACCGUGGACCAUGUGGUCUCUGGAAAGAGCAAACAUAAGGAUAUUUCCUUGUACCAAAGAGUGAUGGCAGCUCUAAUACCUGAAGAUCUAUAUUGCAGUGGGAAUGAGGAUCUUAAUUCUGAUAGUUAUCGAUCUGGAUUUGAAAUGGAGAUGAAUUUAGAAUCAGAUACUUCUUGUGCACAAAUAUUAUAUGGCAGUGAAACUUCCAAAUACCCUGCCUCUAAUGGAUACAUAACAAAUUCCAGUGUGGAUCACUUUGAUAAUUCGGAGCAUGUCAUGGACUGUAAUAAUGUUACAUCUGCCUCAGACAUGGGCGGUUUUCUAAACUAUGAUCAUUCACAAAAAUGUUUACUUCCACAACAACGAACCUUGCCUGGUUUUGUCUGUUCUGAGUAUCAGUAUAAUGAGAUGUCCAUUGAUGAAAAACUUCUUCUUGAGAUUCACUGUAUUGGAAUAUAUCCACAGUUGGAGUCUGAUUUACCACAUACAGCGGAUGAAGAAAUCAGCAUGGACAUGAGUAUAUUGGAUGAAAAGCAUCAGGAGAUGGUUUCUAAGAAGAAAGAAAUGCUGGGAAAGCUGUUGAAUUCGGCAGCAGAGACGAGGGAGUUUCAAGAAAAGGAGUUCGAACAGCAUGCUCUUGACAAGCUUGUGGAAAUGGCAUAUGAGAAAUAUAUGGAUCUCUUAUGGUUUGCGAUUGUAGGAUAAACUCUCAUUGCUUAUCGAUGAUCUAGUGGUGGUUCUCAUUGCUAUCUUUUCUUAUAAGGAGCUAGCUAACCUAUUGCUGAAACCUGCAAGUUCCAUGUUCUGUCUACUAGGUGCUUUUGCUGUUUGUAGGAUAUCAAUUCGCAAGGAAUCAUUAACAUCAAAGCAAGACAAAAUGCAUCUCAGAUUCCCUCACUUGAUAACUGUGAUGGAAAUCUUUUAACUCGACUAGCGUCUGGGGUACAUCCUGUGGAGGUAGCAUUCUAGUCUAUUGCUUUUAUAUGCGUCAAAGUCUGGCCAUAUGUGGGAUCUUCUCUUUUGGAAUUCUACCUUGUAUGCCUCUGCAGAUUCUGCAUUUAUGUUAUUUUUUAUUGCAUAUGGUAGCAUGGUGACUCGAUACUGCAACCAUACUGGUUGUAUUUUUGUGUUUUUUUUAGUGAUUAUAUAUCCAUAUUUCUUGAGCUGAGAUUGCCAUAAGAUUGAGGAACUGCAACAUUUUUUCCUCUUUUGUCAUACUUUACAGAGGAUAACCAGAAAAGAUUUGAGGGAGGGGGAGAUAGAGAACUAAUUCAGACACUACUUGAAGACAGAGUCAGAUAGUACUAGCGUGAGCAAUAGUUGUUAUUGGCCAUCAUUUGCCAUACUGUUAGGAAUCAUCUCUGCCUUAUCAAGUAAAAUAUUUCCUGUAUUAGGUAAAUACACAACCAUUACCAUGCCACUGGACAAUUUGAAAAGAGAAACUAUUUCGACAGGUUCUAGUUCAUUCUUCACCCUUCUGAUAAGUGAUACCGAAGAUCGAAAGUACAGUGCAUAUCAGCUUAAGACAUACAAGUGCAGUGGAGAGCAUGUAUUAAAAAAUUCUAAGUUGCUCUCCUUAGGCUUAAGAAUGGGCUAAAUAGACGUUUUUGUAGUAUGCAAAUAAAUAAGAUAUGGCUUUUGAUUGCAAGUGAGUUGUGCUUAUUCCAAGUUGCCGACGAUCUAGUCAACUGUGCUUUUCUUAAAUCAAUCAGUGAUUGGUCAAAAGAUGGAUGGCAAAAUCUAUUUGAAUGCUGGAGACAAGUCAGAUGAUAUAACUGAAUCUAACUGCAUCUGGAACAUGGGUUGUGGCUGGGGGAAAAUAAGGAAGAACUUGCUAUGAAGAAUGACAAUUAGUUGGAAUGUUCAUGUGUUGGUAUGUUAUUGCGUUUGGCUUCUGAAGGCAGAGAGGAUGAAGUUAAGAGGUUGAAGCUCAGGGAGCACCACACCAUUUAUUUCUGCACAAAGAGAUCUAAUGACUAUUGCAGAUUAUUUCCAUUGUAGCAGUCGAGGAGAGCAAAAGAUCAACUCAUUAGGAGAGAAGAUUAUUAUAAGUGGGAACUGGCCGCUGCUAGAGAAAUUUAUGGGAACCCUUGGGUUGUCCGAGGGGAUUUUAAUGUUACAAGGUUCACAGAAGCGUUGAAGGGGAAGUUAAGGGAGUGGAAUCUGGCAAAUAUUGGUAGCUGUAAAGAAAGAAAAGUGAUAUCCUAGAUUAGAUAGCUCCAACUAGACAAGGUACAGGAACUGAGGGUUCCUUCAAAUGAUGAAAUAUCUCAAAAGGCUAACUUUAGCUAUGGAAGUAUUGUAAACAUGAGGAGGUAGCCUGGAUGGACACAAUAGGUCCAGAAUCCUCAGGUUGAAGCAGGGAGAUGAGAACAAAUUUCUUUGAAACGAUGCUGAUGCAUGCACAAUCACAUUGGUGUACUGCUGGUAGAUGGGGGCAGAGAUCACUGAUCAUGCAGCGCUUUGAAGGGUGAACUAAUUACUUUUUACCAGUAGUUAUACAUGUAUCGACAGAAACAGGGAGACCACAGUUUAAUUUGGGAAUGCUCGAUUAGAAUCCGAAGGAAAGUUUAUGUGCAUUAUGUUCUUAUUUGCCAAAUUAAACUAUAUCUCAAAAUUAUACAAGUAGUGUGAUUAUAAGUUUCUAUUUUCUUAAGUUCUUAUUUGCCAAUAUUUUUAGAACUUCCUGGUUUGAGGUCUAAGCAUUGCAAGGAGAGAGUGAUACCAGAUCGAGGAGGGAGGUCUAUUGCCAAAGGAGAUUGAAGAUAAACAAGUCCAAUUUCCAAUUGGCCUAAGACCUAAAUUAUGUGACUUGGAAGAAUAGCUAGAUUUUUUUCUCUUAAAUUAGGUGACUUGGAAGAAUGUUGGAAGUGUUUGAUUGAAAGAAGUCUAAUGGUGGUUUUAAGCGUUGCCCUCGUAUCUUUUCCAUGUCUUUUUUCUUCAUUUGUGUUUUCUUAAUCAUAAAGUAAUUUAUAUAA